rnacentral:misc_RNA from 1 species
AUUGCUUUGUGUUCAAAUUUCUCCACGCUUGUACGUACGGUUCUAGGGUUUGCUCGAUUCUUCCAGUUUUCUAUUUUUUCUUUCAGUGCAGGAGUAUCUAGUAUUCUAGUGAUGCCUUAGCAUGGAGAUGGAGUCACAGAUCUCCUUGGACUCUAAGGUAAAUUCUCGCAUUGAGAAUACUUCUAUUCAGCAUGGGAAUACUGGUGUAACAUCAUUGAUCCCAGAUCAUGUUGAGCCACAGCUGCCAGCAAAAAAACCAACGCGGCAAUGGGCU